GUGGGGAAUCUUGCGCAAUGGGCGAAAGCCUGACGCAGCCAUGCCGCGUGAAUGAUGAAGGUCUUAGGAUUGUAAAAUUCUUUCACCGGGGACGAUAAUGACGGUACCCGGAGAAGAAGCCCCGGCUAACUUCGUGCCAGCAGCCGCGGUAAUACGAAGGGGGCUAGCGUUGCUCGGAAUUACUGGGCGUAAAGGGCGCGUAGGCGGACAGUUUAGUCAGAGGUGAAAGCCCAGGGCUCAACCUUGGAAUUGCCUUUGAUACUGGCUGUCUUGAGUACGGGAGAGGUGAGUGGAACUCCGAGUGUAGAGGUGAAAUUCGUAGAUAUUCGGAAGAACACCAGUGGCGAAGGCGACUCACUGGCCCGUUACUGACGCUGAGGCGCGAAAGCGUGGGGAGCGAACAGGAUUAGAAACCCGGGUAGUCC
rnacentral:rRNA from 1 species